GAGAGUUUUAAAAAGUUAGUAUAUGUAGGUGAAAAGACUAAAGAUACCUAUAAUAAUGUACAAUUUUUAAGUUGAAAUAAGGGGAAGGAACUCGGCAAAUUUUAGCUUCGCCUGUUUAUCAAAAACAUGGCUCUUUGGUAUUUAGAUAUAAAGAGUCAGACCUGCCCAGUGAAAUUUUUAACGGCCGCGGUACCCUGACCGUGCAAAGGUAGCAUAAUCAUUUGCCUUAUAAUUGAAGGCUUGUAUGAAUGGUUUAACGAAAGCACUGCUGUCUCCCUCUUAAUAAAUAGAAUUUGACUUUUAGGUGAAGAGGCCUAAAUAUAAUUGAAAGACAAGAAGACCCUGUCGAGCUUGAAAAUUGAGUUAGGAGUAGAUAUAGCAUACCUUAAAUUUAUUACUGACUAUUUUUUUUGGUUGGGGCGACCAAGGAACAAUAAAAGCUUCCUUUUUUGUAUUAACUUAUAGGUGUUGAUCCAGCUAGGGCUGAUUAAAAAAAUUAGUUACCGCAGGGAUAACAGCAUAAUCUCUCUUGAGAGACCAAAUCGAAAGAGGGGGUUGUGACCCUCGAUGUUGGACUAGAAUAUCCUAAAGAUGC
rnacentral:rRNA from 1 species